rnacentral:tRNA from 14 species
GCCCGAAUGGCGAAAUCGGUAGACGCAGGGGACUUAAAAUCCCUCGCCAGCAAUGGCAUGCCGGUUCGAGUCCGGCUUCGGGCACCA